GCCAGCAUGGCCUAGUGGUUUGAGUGUUGGACUAUGGUUCCGGGGACCAGGGUUUGAAUCCUGGCUCAGCCA